AAAGGUCUUUUUGAUGUAUUCUCCUACAGAGUGUAGUAUACACUACACUGAACUUAAUAUAGUGAAGUAUGUUCACCACAAAGAUUAUAUGUUUAUAUUUAAAAAAAUAAAUAACCCACAUUAAAAUCUUCAAAUAAUAACUUAAGGGUAAUAUUCAUAGAUUUAUUAAAAUAUAAGGAUGAUAGGACUAUCGUGCCUAAUAUUAGUAUAAUUCAUAUAAUAAGAAUGAAGUAAGUACUGAUCCGAAAUCAGGAGUUUUUAAGCACUAGUUGAUGCAAGUGUCAAUUGCACCCUUGGAUAUAUCUGUUAACAGUUUUAUGGUCCCCAAUGUUAAGAGUCGCCUUGUAUUUAAAGUCAUAUUGACAAAUGGAUUUUGUCAUAUUAUAAUAUUUGUCAGUGGUUUAGAACUUAAUACAUUUCAUUUACAUUUUAUUAUAUUAUAGAUUGAUAAUAGUUGGUGACAUGAAUGGGAUACCAAUUUAAUAAAAAAACUUAGUGCAAAUACAAAAAGCUUUGAUAUUGGUCAACCAGUAUUUUAAAAACCCAUUCACACAACAGAGUAAAGUGGAUUUCAGUACUGUAAAAGAUCAUCGUCAAAACCAAAAUGAGUUCCACUUGAGAUAUUAUUAGAUACUUCAGAUGAUACUUCUUUGACAGAAUCGGCUGAAAUUGAUUUGAAUGAAUCAUCACAUAAAUAAGAAAAAUUGUGUUUACAAGAAGAGAGAAGUAGAAUUCAGGAUCAGCCUGAAAAGUCAGAUGGAUCAGGCAAUAACACUGAGAGGGAAGAGAUGUUACAGUCACUUUUUAUUCAAAAAUUUAUUUUGAGGAAUGGAUGUUGGUAGAUUAUAAUAUUUGUCAGUGAUUUAGACUGAAUGCAUUUCAUUAGUUUUUGACUAUUUUAUUAUAUCAUAGAUUGAUAACACCCAAGGGCAGAUGAAUAAACGAGUGAUUAAUAA